rnacentral:lncRNA from 1 species
GGUUAAUAUUGUUCAUCAGGUCAAGAUCUCUCUGCCUUGAAAUUUUCAGAUGAAUUGGACAACCCCUUGUUAGGUUGCUGCCCCUGAAUUGGUAAUUUUAAUGAAAUUUUGCUGUUUUUUUUAUUAUCUUGAAUUUAUUUAUAGAUAGAGAUAAACUGUAAACAGCAAUAAUGUACAGCAAAGUAAGAACUAAAAAUAAGUCAGUAUGACCAAAA